UCUUCUUUCCUUCAUUCAUCAUACCCCGUAUGGUGCACUUACCGUAGGCCGAGAAAUUCAUCCUAUGUAUUUUAUUACACCCCAUUAAAAGUUUAAUGAAUGUUUUCAAAUAAGAUUGAGGACGCGAGUCUUUCAAUUUUAAUAAUAAAUUAUACAACUUUCAACAACGGAUCUCUUGGCUCUCGCAUCGAUGAAGAACGCAGCGAAAUGCGAUAAGUAAUGUGAAUUGCAGAAUUCAGUGAAUCAUCGAAUCUUUGAACGCACCUUGCGCCCCUUGGUAUUCCGAGGGGCAUGCCUGUUUGAGUGUCAUUAAAUUAUCAACUCGAAAAUCUUGCAUUUUCGAUGUUUGGAAUUGGAGCAUGCAGGGCCCUACAAGGCUCUGCUCCUCUUGAAAUGCAUUAGUGGAACUUCUGAUUGCAGACCUGCUCCAGCGUGAUAAUUAUCUACGUUGCGGUAGUGAAGUCGGAGGAUCUGCUUACAACCGUUGCAUAUAUGCGCAACAAAACUCAUGACGAUUUGACCUCAAAUCAGGUAGGAUUACCCGCUGAACUUAAGCAUAUCAAUAAGCGGAGGAAAAGAAACUAACAAGGAUUCCCCUAGUAACUGCGAGUGAAGCGGGAAAAGCUCAAAUUUAAAAUCUGGCGGCCCCUGUGACUGUCCGAGUUGUAAUCU
rnacentral:rRNA from 1 species